rnacentral:rRNA from 1 species
AUGGUGCUCCCAACCUUACCGGUUACCCUCACAUUCCUCACACUGUUAGCCCUCUUGUCGAUUGCCAAGGCGGCUGAUAACAACUCCACAACCUCUGGCCUCAUCCUCCUAAACUGCGGAGAAUCUACCCAAGACGAUGAUGAUGGUGGUCGUUCUUGGGAUGGGGACACCGGCUCCAUAUUCGCGCCAUCAAUGAAAGGAGAUGCAGCCAUUGCUUUAGAUGCCGUCUUCGGAGUCACGGCACGGAAUCUUGUCCUCUUAAAAGACUUCAAUGCUUUGCAAACAGCUCAGGCGAUCACUUCUGCCUACCUUGUGCGUGAAUUCUCGGUGAAUGUUUCUUCAGGCAGCUUGGACCUCACCUUUGCACCAUCAGCACAUCAGUAUGGGUCUUAUGCAUUUGUGAAUGGCAUUGAGAUUGUGCCCACGCCUGACAUCUUCGCAACACCUGACAUAAGAUUUGUCAGCGGUGAUAACACAUCUCCAUUCACAUUCGACGCUGACAUGAGCCUCCAGACUAUGUACCGGCUCAAUGUUGGGGGCCCAGCCAUUUCCCCGAAAGGUGACUCGGGCUUUUACCGCUCAUGGGCCAAUGAUGCCCCAUACAUACUUGGUGGCUUUGGGUUGACCUUUUGGAAAAAUGAUAAUUUGACUAUCAGUUAUACAUCUAGAGUGCCGAAUUACACCGCCCCAGUUGAUGUCUAUGGUACAGCUCGGUCCAUGGGGCCAACUGCACAGAUCAACCUGAACUACAACCUUACAUGGAUUUUACCGGUUGAUGCGGGUUUCUUUUACCUCCUAAGGUUUCAUUUCUGUGAGAUUAAGUAUCCUAUUACCAAGGUGAAUCAGAGGUCGUUCUUCAUCUACAUCAACAACCAGACAGCGCAGGAGCAAAUGGAUGUCAUCUUCCGGAGCGGAGGAAUCGGUAGACCAACAUACACUGAAUAUGUUAUCAUGGCUAUUGGUUCUGGUCAGGUGGACAUGUGGAUUGCACUUCACCCUGAUCUUUCAAGUAAACCACAGUAUUCUGAUGCAAUACUGAAUGGUCUCGAGGUCUUCAAGCUACAGAAUUACGGACCGAGCAAUCUUGCUGGGCUCAAUCCUCCACUUCCGCAAAAGCCUGAUGUGAAUCCUAAUAGGCUAUCUAGCGGUGAAAGAAAAACCAAAGGUGGCAUACAAGCAACCAUCGGUGGUACUGCUGGUGGUUUUGCUUUAUUGUUGAUUGCCCUUUUCAGCAUGUGUGUUAUCUACAGACGGAAGAAGGCAGCGAAGAGUCCCGGCAAGACCGACUAUGGACAUGUGAAGCAUCCAACUAAAUGCAUAAAGUCUACAUGUGAUCUUGUACGUCAUUUCUCAUUUGCUAAAAUUCAAGUUGCCACCAAAGACUUUGAUGAAGCACUUAUCAUCGGCAGAGGCGGUUUCGGGAAUGUCUACAUCGGCGAUAUAGAUGGAGGGACAAAGGUGGCGAUCAAGCGAUGUGACCAGAAAUCCCAACAAGGCUUUCAUGAGUUCCAGACUGAAAUCGAGAUGCUGUGCAAUUUCCGCCAUCGCCACCUUGUGUCUCUGAUUGGCUAUUGUGAGGAGAAGAAUGAGAUGAUUCUGGUGUAUGACUACAUGGCUCAUGGAACACUGCGUGAGCAUUUGUACAACACCAGGAACCCACCACUGCCGUGGCAGCAGCGCCUUGAGAUUUGCAUCGGUGCAGCCCGAGGACUGCAUUACCUCCACACCGGCGUAGAGCAAGGAAUCAUCCACCGUGACGUCAAGACCACCAACAUCCUACUGGAUGAUAGGUUAAUGGCAAAGGUUUCCGACUUCGGUUUGUUUAAGGCUAGUCCAGACAUUGGCAACACCCACAUGAGCACUGCUGUUAAGGGCACCUUUGGAUAUCUUGAUCUGGAGUACUUCCGGCAGCAGCGUCUCACCAAAAAAUCAGAUGUGUACUCCUUCGGGGUUGUGUUGUUUGAGACCCUGUGUGCGCGCCCUGUGAUAAAUACUGAGCUCCCUUAUGAGCAAGUGAGCUUGCGUGACUGGGUGGUAUCUUGCCGAAAGAAAGGUGUACUCGAGGAGAUUGUUGACCCCUGUGUUAAGGAGGAAAUCACCCUUGAGUGCUUCAGGAUAUUUGCAGAGAUAGCGGAGAAAUGCGUUGCUGAUCGUAGCAUAGAUAGGCCAUCAAUGGGUGAUGUACUUUGGAACCUUGAGGUCGCACUCCAGCUUCAGGAUAGUGCAAGCUACAACACCAGCUGUGCUGAGGGUGCAUCAUCUCUUCAGAUCAGCGGAGUGCAUUCAGGCAAACCAUCAACCAACUCAACAAUUAGCGUUGCAGCACAGGAAGCCAUAUUUUCAGAUAUUGCACAUCCAGAAGGCCGAUAA